AGCAGCCGCUUUGGUAAUACUGACUCCCUCCAUUUUCUUUCUACUACUUUUUAAGCUAUGUAAAGUUGCGUUUUCACGAAAAGCAUCAAUCUCGCGCCCAACACUGGAUUAGUCAUGAAGGAAAUGAAGCACUUCUGACCCGUCGUCUCAGUCACCAUUACAAGCUACAAAGACUCUUCAUGACAAAUCACAGAGGUGAGGGGAAGAGGUGGUUACAAGAACAACAUCACCAGUAUCUUUCAAAUACACUAAGAGCUGAAGCUUGUGUCACAUAAU